rnacentral:rRNA from 1 species
AACGAACGCUGGCGGCGUGUUUAAGACAUGCAAGUCGCACGGUGUCAUUUUUGUAGCAAUACAUGGAUAGCACAGUGGCGCACGGGUGAGUAACACGUGAAUGACAUGCCCUUCAGUGGGGGAUAGCCCAGGGAAACUUGGAUUAAUACCCCAUGGCCUCGCGAGAGUAAAGGUGGCGCAAGCUGCCGCUGGAGGAUUGGUUCGCGUUCUAUCAGCUUGUUGGCGGGGUAACGGCCCACCAAGGCUACGACGGAUACCUGGUCUGAGAGGACGAUCAGGCACACUGGAACUGAGACACGGUCCAGACACCUACGGGUGGCAGCAGUCGAGAAUAAUUCACAAUGGGGGCAACCCUGAUGGUGCAACGCCGCGUGGAGGAUGAAGGUCUUCGGAUUGUAAACUCCUGUCAUCCGGGAGCAAGACCUGGGAGUUAAUAGCUCACAGGGUUGAUAGUACCGGAAGAGGAAGGGACGGCUAACUUCGUGCCAGCAGCCGCCGUAAGAC